UCAUAGUGAUCCGGUGGUUCUGAAUGGAAGGGCCAUCGCUCAACGGAUAAAAGGUACUCCGGGGAUAACAGGCUGAUACCGCCCAAGAGUUCAUAUCGACGGCGGUGUUUGGCACCUCGAUGUCGGCUCAUCACAUCCUGGGGCUGAAGUAGGUCCCAAGGGUAUGGCUGUUCGCCAUUUAAAGUGGUACGCGAGCUGGGUUUAGAACGUCGUGAGACAGUUCGGUCCCUAUCUGCCGUGGGCGCUGGAGAACUGAGGGGGGCUGCUCCUAGUACGAGAGGACCGGAGUGGACGCAUCACUGGUGUUCGGGUUGUCAUGCCAAUGGCACUGCCCGGUAGCUAAAUGCGGAAGAGAUAAGUGCUGAAAGCAUCUAAGCACGAAACUUGCCCCGAGAUGAGUUCUCCCUGACCCUUUAAGGGUCCUGAAGGAACGUUGAAGACGACGACGUUGAUAGGCCGGGUGUGUAAGCGCAGCGAUGCGUUGAGCUAACCGGUACUAAUGAACCGUGAGGCUUAACCUUACAACGCCGAAG
rnacentral:rRNA from 1 species